rnacentral:misc_RNA from 1 species
GAAAUGCGAUAAUUAAUAUGAAUUGCAGAAUUCAGUGAAUCAUCGAGUCUUUGAACGCACAUUGCGCCCUCCGGCAUUCCGGAGGGCAUGUCCGACCGAGCGUCACUAGCACCGCUCGAGCCCGCCCCGCUUUCGGGGCGGAGGCUCGGUGUUGGGGACCCGCGGGCGGGGUCGACUCGGACCCCACCGCGGCCCUGAAAAGCAGUGGCGGCCCGUCAAGGCAAAGCCCCCAGCGGAGUAGAACAUUACGUCUCGCUCGGGCGCCCUGGCUGGGACAGCCUCGAACCUAACGAGGGGGGCCCCAACAAGCCCCCCACACCCGGUUGGCCUCGGGUCGGACAAGAUUACCCGCUGAACUUAA